rnacentral:lncRNA from 1 species
AGUAGGACUUAUUACUCUUCUGAUAGAUGAGCAAAUUGAGAUUCCAGAAAGACCUCACAGCCAGCAAGUUGGAGAGCUGCUUUUUGAUGCUAGACAGUUGGCCUCUGGCCUGUAAUCUUAAUACCCCAGACCAUCUUUCCAUGUGGCCCUCAUAGGCCCUAGAACAGUUGCUCAGGGGAAUCCCGGAGCAAGAGAUGAGCACAGGUGGGAGAUUCUUCGCAGACUGUCUGCAGCUCACGCUAAGGUGCGAGGAAGUGGCUGGAGUGGAGGAAGGAGGUUGAGCUGCUCUCAGAUGUGGCCUACUUUGGCCUCACCACACUUGCAGGCUACCAGACCCUGGGGGAGGAGUACGUCAGCAUCAUCCAGGUGGACCCAUCGCGGAUACAUGUGCCCUCCUCGCUGCGCCGUGGCGUGCUGGUGACACUGCAUGCCGUCCUGCCCUACCUGCUGGACAAGGCCCUGCUCCCCCUGGAGCAGGAGCUGCAGGCUGACCCCGACAGUGGGCGACCCUUGCAGGGGAGCCUGGGGCCAGGUGGGCGUGGCUGCUCA